rnacentral:rRNA from 1 species
GAUGAACGCUGGCGGCGUGCCUAAUACAUGCAAGUCGAGCGAACAGACGAGGAGCUUGCUCCUCUGACGUUAGCGGCGGACGGGUGAGUAACACGUGGAUAACCUACCUAUAAGACUGGGAUAACUUCGGGAAACCGGAGCUAAUACCGGAUAAUAUAUUGAACCGCAUGGUUCAAUAGUGAAAGACGGUUUUGCUGUCACUUAUAGAUGGAUCCGCGCCGCAUUAGCUAGUUGGUAAGGUAACGGCUUACCAAGGCAACGAUGCGUAGCCGACCUGAGAGGGUGAUCGGCCACACUGGAACUGAGACACGGUCCAGACUCCUACGGGAGGCAGCAGUAGGGAAUCUUCCGCAAAGGGCGAAAGCUUGACGGAGCAACGCCGCGUGAGUGAUGAAGGUCUUCGGAUCGUAAAACUCUGUUAUUAGGGAAGAACAAAUGUGUAAGUAACUAUGCACGUCUUGAUGGUACCUAAUCAGAAAGCCACGGCUAACUACGUG